GAACUUCCGAUAGAUAGCGAUAGACAUAGUAAAAUUGUUUUUCUGUGGCUCAGUGUAUUUUAACAAUGUACCUACUUAUAUGUAUAUAUAUGAAU